GGGUAGCUGCAGGCAGGCAGUGCGGUUGCCCGGCAGCUUCGGGCCGCGCGGAGAGCUCGCGAGAAUAGCCGCAUACCGGCUGAGGACCGCUCCGUGCGCUCACCCUUUCUUUCGGCAGCCCACCUCGCCGGAGAAAGACGUAACCGUACUUCACAAGUGAACUCCCCUGGUGGGAUAGCAGUAACCGCAUCGUUGUACGUGAAUAAAUCGUCAUCGUCAUGAGUGUCAAUGCACCGCUUUGAAUAAAGCUCUAUGACAAAAUA